GAUGAACGCUGGCGGCGUGCUUAACACAUGCAAGUCGAACGGAAAGGCUCCUGCUUGCAGGGGUACUCGAGUGGCGAACGGGUGAGUAACACGUGGGUGAUCUGCCCUGCACUUCGGGAUAAGCCUGGGAAACUGGGUCUAAUACCGGAUAGGACCAUCGUUUAGUGUCGGUGGUGGAAAGAUUUUUCGGUGUGGGAUGAGCUCGCGGCCUAUCAGCUUGUUGGUGGGGUAAUGGCCUACCAAGGCGUCGACGGGUAGCCGGCCUGAGAGGGUGUACGGCCACAUUGGGACUGAGAUACGGCCCAGACUCCUACGGGAGGCAGCAGUGGGGAAUAUUGCACAAUGGGCGCAAGCCUGAUGCAGCGACGCCGCGUGGGGGAUGACGGCCUUCGGGUUGUAAACUCCUUUCGCCAGGGACGAAGCGAAAGUGACGGUACCGGGAUAAGAAGCACCGGCUAACUACGUG
rnacentral:rRNA from 1 species